CUCCCCUCUACCUCGCCCCGCCCCAAACCCACAACCAAAUAUGCCGGAAAUAGGCGUCGAAAGACUGUUAAUUGGCGGGCAAGAGGAGCUGAGAUGGAGUUAGCGCGUUGGGACGGUUUGGAGGGAAAGUAGUCGGAGAGGUCGGUUCGCACCCAUCGUCACAGCCCGCCGACCGUUUUCUCGCCGGCGGUCACGUGAUGAACGAGGCGGCUGGGAUGAUGGUGAGAAGAGAUGUUGGGUGUGUGUCUGCGAGGGAGAAAUGGACGGUCGGGAAGGAAGAUAGAGUAUUGAAGGAUCAUUGGGGUGGAAAGGAAAAACAACUGUAAGUGAACAUUGGGCAAGACUUGAACAAAGCAGGAACAGCUGAAAAGGGAGAGAAAUAUGGAAAACUAAAGUCAAUACAAGUUCUUCCCAUGGUUGGCACAUGUCUCUCCGAGAUGAAAGAUUUGGAUCUUGAUUCCAGGCCUAUGCCAGUGUCUGCUUAGGGAUGUAACGAUUCACCUCUGGAGCAGGUAGAACUUGAACUGGAGUCUUCUGGGUGAAAGAUGCUGCCAGACCCACCGAGCUUUUCAAGCAAUUUCUGUUUUUGCGACCCAAGUGACCUAUUUGGGCUAUGGAGUUGAUAAGACCAGGCUUCACCUGUUGGAAGAUAAAGUGAGGGUGACUUCCACGUCUGUACCAGAGCUUGGGUCUUUUGUUGAGGUGAUCAAUUCAUACGUAACAUGCCUUACAGUAAAAUGUUGUCCCAUCUACCUGCCGUGCAAGUUCAGUUCUGCUAUCUUGACAGCAGCCUACAUACCACCCCAAGCGAAUGUGAAGAAUUCCCGAGAUGAAAUUUACACUGCCACAAACACUCUGGAGACAAAAUUCCCUGAGGUCUUAUUCAUCAUGGCAGAACUUCAACCCGGCCAACCUCGAGGGUGCUGCCCAAAUACCUUGAACACAUCUGACCCACUAGAGGACCGAACAUCUGAGACCACUACUAAACAACCAUCAAUGAUGUUUAUCGCUCCAUCCAGCGUCUGCACUUUGGAAGAUUAGAUCACAAUCCUCCCAGUCUACAAGCAGAAGUUUAAACAAAAGAAUCGUCCACAGAAAGUAAUAGAAUGCUGGUCCGAGGCAGCGGAAGACCUGUCUCCAGGAUUGCUUGGAAUCGGUGGACUGGGUCAUAUACAUGUAGUCAGCAGAAAACAUAGACGAGUACCCCAACACUGUCAUUGACUUCAUUAGCAAAUGUGUGGAGGACUGCCUGCCAAAGAAGUCAAUCUGGGUAUUCCCCAACAAGAAAACUUGGAUGAACCAGGAAAUCCACUACUAGUGAAGACCAGGUGUGCAGCGUUCAAGUCAGAUGACCCAGAUUUAUAGAGAAAAUCCAGAUAUGAUCCCACAAAGCCAUCAGGAAUGCUGAGACCAAGUUAGAGGCCCAAACCUACUAUAUGAACAGCUACUUCCUAUGUCAAGGCCUACAGGAUACAAAAUGAAGCAUAGCAAGAUAGCAGACAAAGACACAUUGUUGUACGCAAUGCUUUCUAUGCUCACUUGGAGCAGAAUGCCAGUGGCCCCAACAGCCCCAAACUCACCUGUUCCUUCCAUUACUGCUGCAGACGUCACAUCUGUGUUCCUGAGAGUCAACCCAAGGAAGUCCCUGGACGUGUAUUUAGAUCCUGUGUGGACCAGUUGGUGGAGGUAUUCACUAACAUCUUCAACCUCUGCCUCCUACAAGCCAAAGUCCCUACCUGCUUCAAGAAAACCACCUUAUCCUAGUACCAAAGAAAGCACAUGCAACAUGCCUUAAUGACCACUGCCCAGUAGCUCUGACCUCAAUCAUGAAGUGCUUUGGAAGGCUGCCAACAUCAAAAACCCCUCCAACCCUGGUAAUUGUCUACUACAACCUCUUCCAUCAGGCAGAAGAUAUAGAAACUUGAACACAUGCAAGAACAGCUCCUUCCGUGCUGUUAUUAGAUUGAAUGGACUCUCUCUAGCUUCAAGUAAUGUUGAUCUUGUUAAUGUUGGUCUUGUAUCAUUCACCUCCUAUCCGGUAUAACCUGUAUGUCUCAUUCUGUCUGAGCACCCUAUGCUGUCUAUGUCCUUGCUCACUAUCAUCUGCCUGUAUUGUUCACAAACAAAGCUUUUCACUGUACUUAAGUACACAUGACUACAAUAAAUCAAAUCUAAUCAAAUGGCCUCUAUCUUGGCACCGUUACACCUGCUAUUGAAAAAGGAGUAGUCUUGGAAAUGGUCCCAUAGCCAAGAAGUAGCCUUUAGGGAAGUGAAAAAUCAGAUAUCACCAUCUAAGGUGAUAUGAUCCCAAGCAACAGGUGGUGCUGACAUGCCUACCUGUUUGGUAGUGCUGGCUCACUGGUGGCCCAACAGAGGGGAAUGAUGGAUAGCUUAUGCUUCCCAAACUUUGGCUGAUGCUGAAUCCAAACACGCUAGAUAGAGAAGAAAGGUUUGGCAGUCAUCUUUUGACAUGAGGAAGUUCCACCAAUACCUUUAUAGUUGUAAAAUUGUAAUAGUAAUUAACCACAAACCUCUGCUAGAGUUUCUUAAAGAAGACAAGGCUAUGCCACCCAUAGCUUCUGUCAAAUUCAGUGGUUGGCCCUUUAUUCUCAGUGUCCACAAUUACAAGUUGGAACACUGUCCAGGGGACCAAGUAGCAUAUGCAGAUACAUUGAGCCUCCCAUUUACAGAUGCAGCAGUGCUGGUGCCUCCCCUAGAAGUGUCUGUUCUGUUUUUAAAUUUUCUGGACACCCUUCCAGACACUGCUGGCACUAUUUGACUGUGGACACAAAGAUUCGGUCCUGGCAAGGCAAAACAAAACCACUUGAUGGUGAGAGGGAAACCAAAAGGCCAUCAUAACCAGAAUCAAAACCCCUUUCUGGAUUCGGCACAAUCAAAUUACCGUACAGGAUGGCGUAUUACUAUGGAGGACAAGAGUGAUUGUCCCAAGUAAAGGUUGCUGCCAGAUACUGGCUGAACUCCUCCAGGGUCAUCCAGGGAUUUCCAAAGUGAAGAUGUCAGCAAGAAGUUAUGUCUGAUGGCUAGGAUUUGAUGUCAACAUAGCUGCAUUGGUGGGAUAGUUCUCAGAAUACCAACAAAGUAAAAAAUUACUGCCAGCAACUCUCCCACAUUCUUGGGAAUGGCCGAGUAAACCUUAGACUCUGUUAUACAUCAAUUAUGGCAGUCCUUUCAUGGUUCAAUGUUCUUGGUCAUUGUGAAUGCCCAUUCAAGGUGGUUGGGUGCAAAAUGUUCACUCAGCAACCUCAGGGAUAAUAAUUGGAAAGCUGUGAGCAUCAUUUGCUAUACUCUAGACUCCCAGAAGUAUAGAUCACAGACGAUAGGACGUCAUCUACCAGUAGGGCUUUCCAAAAGUCGAAUGGCAUUUGACAUACUCGGACAGCUCCAUAACAUUCAUUGUCCAAUGGUCUGGUGGAAAGAGCAGUCCAAAUGUUGAAGGCACACGUAAAGAAACAGCCUACAGAUUCACACGAUACCAAACUGUCCCAGGUCCUAUUUGAUUAUAGGACCAUCCCUCACGUAACUACUGGGAUAGCUCCAGAAGAAUUGCAAAUGGGGAAAAGACUCUGCACCAGGUUAAACCUGAUGUUCACCACCUGGGUGGAGAGUAAACGGCAGCAGGAACACCAGUGCCAGCUACACACCUCCUAAGCGAGAGUGUUUACUUCAGGAGAUGAAUUUUGGUGUUAAAACCAUGGAAAUGGGUACAAGAUGAAGUCAAGGUGAAGUCAGGUCCUGUAACACAAAGUUCAGGUAGAUUAGGCGGUCCUGAACAAACAUAUGGAUCACAUGAAAGCUGCUACCUCACAAACAGGGCAUGAGUAAAACAAUUAAAGAGGCAGAACAUCUCCUGAGACAUUCCAGGUACAAGAGACGAGCUAGAUCCAGUAUACCCCGCCCAUGUCCGAAUUUAGAAUUGGACGAACUGGACCUGGAGCUAAAGUGUCCCAGGAGAAGCCACAAGAAAAAGAACAAGCCUACAUCUCUGGACUGAGUAGGGAAGGGAUGUUGUGAUUGGAACAAGGGCCUCAUGGAUCUCAUUGAGGUAUGGGGCUGUUAACCUGAGCCAAUCAGGGACGCUUGGCUAACACAUAUAAACAGGAGAUUCAGAGAGUCUCCAUAGCAUAGGGACUGGCUCUGAGCUAGCUCAUUAGACUCCAUGUCCUGUGCACAUGUAAUGCACUUGGUAUCAUCUUAGUAAUUUUUUUUACUGUCUUCAGUGCCUGUAUAUCCUUUUUUGUGAUGAUCAGAACUAUACAAGACAAUCCAGUGAACUGGCAGUUCAUUUUAAAGCCCAGCCAAUGUUCUAUUCCAUUGACUUCAUUUUACUGUCAAUUGUUUUCUGCUUUUUAUGAAUUAAGAUAGUAUCAGGUACAAAUUCAUUUUAAGGUAGGGAUUAGCAAUUUGAAACAAUUUUAUCUCUCUGGUGUGUAAUAUUGCACUGAACAGUGUUUUGAUUAGUUGUUCUCUGACAUGAUGGGAUACCAUAUCGCCUUUUUUUUAGGGAAAUCAUUUGGGAUUUUUACUGAUGAUCGAUACCCAUCCAUUUGCUCUAACCUAAAAUCUGGCCCAACAUGCUGUCAUUAGAAAAGAACAGUACAUUUAUAACAGAGGUCUUGUUCCUGAUACUAUUUGGGAACAACUUCCUUUAUGCAGUUUCUGUUUCAUCUCAUUGUAUACAUUUUACAAGAAACAGAAUUGGCAUUAAGAGCACCAAAUUGUAUUUCAGAAUUGUUUUUUAGUGAAUGUGGUUUUAAUCUACUUACUGUCUAGCUAAUCUUGGAUUCCUCUCAGACUUGUCUAUGCUUAACAUGAUUCAUUCUGAAGGCUUCACUUACCCCCAUUAUUUUUGUAUUACACUUAGCGCAAUUUGGAGCAAAGAACUGCUCAUAGCACCGUUCACAGUAAAUAUUGUUCUGCUCUUCUACAAAUCCAGUAUCGACCAGGGAGGUCUUGCAGUAAGUGCAGUUAAACUCUUCAGGGUGCCAGGAGCGACCCAAGGCCACUAGGAAAGGACCUCUGGAGACAAAAACAGAAAAUACAAUAUAUAAUAAAACAGUGCAAAAUAUCCUUCCCAACCUGAAUUGAUAGUCCUGUAACCUAUCCCUGCAGGAACUCAUCCAAACCUUUUUUAAAAAUCUAUUCCAAAUUCAGUUUCCCUGUUAUAUUAAAAAAAAAAUUGCCUAAUUUUCCUGUUUCCUUUUGACCAUAUCAAUUUUAGACUCUGUCUCUGU